rnacentral:rRNA from 1 species
AACGUAGGUACCGAGCGUUAUCCGGAUUUACUGGGCGUAAAGCGUGUGCAGGCGGUCGUGCAAGUCGGGCAUGAAAGCCCCUGGCUCAACUGGGGGAAGCUGUCUGAUACUGCGCGACUUGAGGGCUCGAGAGGGCGAUGGAAUUCCGCAUGUAGUGGUGAAAUGCGUAGAGAUGCGGAGGAACACCAGUGGCGAAAGCGGCUUCCUGGUCCAGCACCGACGUUCAGGCACGAAAGCGUGGGGAGCAAACAGG